rnacentral:rRNA from 1 species
UACGUAGGGUGCAAGCGUUGUCCGGAAUUAUUGGGCGUAAAGAGCUCGUAGGCGGUUUGUCGCGUCUGCUGUGAAAACCCGAGGCUCAACCUCGGGCCUGCAGUGGGUACGGGCAGACUAGAGUGCGGUAGGGGAGAUUGGAAUUCCUGGUGUAGCGGUGGAAUGCGCAGAUAUCAGGAGGAGCACCAAUGGCGAAGGCAGAUCUCUGGGCCGUAACUGACGCUGAGGAGCGAAAGCAUGGGGAGCGAACAGG